GCCACACCAAACUAGUUGAGCCAUCACUCACUUCCAAACAGACUUUGAAUGGAGACCUUGUGAAAAAACUGUUUCAUCAGAAGUCAAUUUAUGUCAGACCUGACAAGGUCAUCUUAUGUGAGGACAAUGAAUCAACAUAUUCUGAUGGAGAGAGUAGCCAUACAAGCAGGCAGGAUUUCACAGAAACGUUGAAUUCUGACAAAUGUGUUGAAACUUCUAAAGAAGUUCCCUCAGCCAUUCCCAUUGUUAACACACAGUCCAUGACUGUUGAUGAUGAGGUCAUCUGGUGCGUUGCUACCCAAGAUGUUUGUACUGUUGAAUCUUCCAUCUCUGCUGACACCCUCACAAUGUCCACCAAUCCUUCUGUCAUUGCUACUGAUGAGGAUGAGCCUUACUCCAGUGGAACAUCUGCCUCUGUCAGUUACAACACACCUGGCUUAUCAGUGGGUUCUUCUGCCAGUGUUACUGGUGACACACGUGUCUUCUCUAGUAACACCUCCAGUGUGUCCAAUGGACCUACCCAGCCAAGUUUAUCCAGCACAUCCUACAGUACAUAUCUUGGCCUGUUUGAGGAAGAAUACCUGUCAGAUGACCCCGACCUCCAAGAAGCCAUUUCAAGGUCUUUAGACUCAAGUGCAAGUGAAAGUGACGUCCAGAGCUUAGAGAGAAUCUUGGAGCAGAUUGUUACUAGAGUAAAUAAUGACAGCACUGUACGCUUCAACAUCAUAAGGCGAAAUGUGUGGGAUGGAGCAUCCAGAGCCAUGGGCAGAUCCAAUUUUUCACCAGAGAAAAAAAUAGAUGUGAAGUUUACUGAUGACUAUGGAAUAUCUGAGGGUGCUGUUGACAAUGGAGGACCUACUCGGGAGUUCUUCCGACUUUGCCUCUGUGAAGUCAAGGACAAACUUGGCAUCUUUGAAGGUCCACCCAAUGCUAAAGUUCUUACGUGCAAUUCUAAAGCAAUGAAAGAUAAUGGAUACUACUAUGCUGGCCAGAUCAUGGCAAUGUCAAUUGCUCAUGGGGGACAGAGUCCAUGUUUCUUGUCUGAACUCUUGUAUGAGUGUCUUCAAAAGGGUCCAGAUAAUGUAAAAGUCAGCACUGAGCAUAUUACUGAUGAGGAAACAAGGUCACAAGUGCAGUCGAUCGUACAGGCCGAGAGUGAUCUACAGCUGCAAGAUGCAGUUGCACAGGCAGCCAGCUUGAUCAGUCUUGCUGGUCACAAUGUUUGCAUAACACUUCAAAACAAACAAGAAACUGCUUUGGAUCUGGCUCACUGGUAUGUCCUUCAACGGACCCGUGCACCUUUUGAAAGGUUCAGAGAUGGCUUGAGGUCUCUAGGUGUCCUAGAUGCUCUACAGACAUACCCUCUUCAGAUGAAGUGCCUUUUCGUGAAAGCUGGAAUGGCUCUGAGAGCAACUGAUAUGGAGAAUCUGUUCCAGAUCAUUCACUCUGAACGAGGGAGUAAUGCAUUUCAAGACGAGUGCCGGACCCUGGCUUUCUGGCAAGACUAUCUUCAGGAGGCAGAAUUUGAAAGUGAUGUCUCUUUGGAAGAUAUUCUUGUUUUCUGCACUGGAUGUGACAGCAUACCAGCCCUGGGUUUUUCUCCAAAGCCAAGCCUUGAGUUCGUCACUAACUGCAGAUUUCCAGUGGCCAAUACUUGUGAAAAUAUCCUUCGUAUACCAGUUCAUGCAGUGUACACUACUUUCAAAUCAGACAUGGAUUUUGCAAUACGGAAUUCACCAGGAUUUGGAAGAGCAUGAUGUGUUUCCUUAAGGAUUGUUGACAUGAUGAGGAUUUGGGUUUUUUUUCUAUUUUGCAUAUGCAUUUUUAAUUUUCUUGUUUUUUGUUAAUGUUGUUAACCCCACAUCAGAGUACACCCUGGACAGCAGUAGGACUGUAUAGCCUAAAUAAGCUUCAUGUGUGUCUUUCAAAUUACAGCUUAAAUACCAGUUCAUGCAGUGUACAUUACUUUCAAAUCAGACAUGGAUUUGAUAAGCCGAAGAGAAUGGAUGGAAUAAUUUUGUUUCAGUUUAUACAUGUGAGGCAUUUUUUUGUUUUUUGAUUGUAGUUAAUUUGUUUUCCUGCUUAUAUGGCAUGUUUUGUCUCUGAUAUGACCCAUAGUAACAUUAGAUUAUUUAGUACCCCUGCAGUGAGCAAAAUAAUAUGCCACAAUCUCAUUGUUAUAUAGAAUUAAGU